rnacentral:rRNA from 1 species
AGAGUGAACGCUGGCGGUAGGCCUAACACAUGCAAGUCGAACGGCAGCACGGUAAGAGCUUGCUCUUAUGGGUGGCGAGUGGCGGACGGGUGAGGAAUACAUCGGAAUCUACCUUUUGGUGGGGGAUAACGUAGGGAAACUUACGCUAAUACCGCAUACGCCCUUCGGGGGAAAGCCGGGGACCAGCAAUGGCCUGGCGCUGAUAGAUGAGCCGAUGUCGGAUUAGCUAGUUGGUGAGGUAAUGGACUCACCAAGGACGACGAUCCGUAGCUGGUCUGAGAGGAUGAUCAGCCACACUGGAACUGAGACACGGUCCAGACUCCGACGGGAGGCAGCAGUGGGGAAUAGUUGGACAAUGGGCGACAAGCCUGAUCCAGCCAUACCCGGCGUGGUAGAAGAACGGCCGUUUCGGGUUAGUAAAGUCCCGUUU